AGGAGGCAGCGGCGGGCCCAUGCAGGACGCGGAGAACGUGGCGGCGCCCGAGGCGGCCGAGCAGCGGGCCGAGCCCGUGCAGCAGCAGCCGGCCGCUGAGCCGCCGCCGGGGGAGGAGCCGCCGCGGCCCCCGGGGCCCGGCGCGCAGGAGGCGGCGAGCGGCGAGGACGACGAGGCCGGGCCGGAGCCCGACGAGCCGGCCGAGCCCGCGGCCGCCGCGGAGGAGAGGGCGGCCUCCGCCCCGGGCGCGCCCUCGCCGCCGCCCGAGGAGCCCCCAGCCCCCGCCCCGGCUGCGGGCGAGGCCCCGGCGGAGCAGGCCGGGGACGCGGCGGCCGAGGCCCGGUCCGAGGGGGCGGGCGGGGAGGACGGCGGCGCGGACGAGCCCUCCUUCAGCGACCCCGAGGACUUCGUGGACGACGUGAGCGAGGAAGAACUGCUGGGAGACAUUCUCAAGGACCGGCCCCAGGAGGCCGACGGGAUCGACUCGGUGAUUGUAGUCGACAACGUUCCUCAGGUGGGACCCGACCGCCUGGAGAAGCUCAAAAAUGUCAUCCAUAAGAUCUUUUCCAAGUUUGGGAAAAUCACAAAUGAUUUUUAUCCAGAGGAGGAUGGAAAGACAAAAGGGUAUACAUUCCUGGAAUACGCAUCUCCUGCCCACGCCUUGGAUGCUGUGAAAAAUGCUGAUGGCUACAAGCUGGACAAGCAGCACACGUUCAGAGUCAACCUGUUCACAGACUUUGACAAGUAUAUGACCAUCAGUGAUGAGUGGGAUAUUCCAGAGAAACAACCUUUCAAAGACUUGGGGAAUUUACGUUACUGGCUCGAAGAGGCAGAAUGCAGAGAUCAGUACAGUGUCAUAUUUGAGAGUGGGGACCGUACUUCAAUAUUCUGGAACGACGUGAAGGACCCUGUCUCUAUCGAAGAGAGGGCGAGAUGGACAGAGACAUACGUGCGCUGGUCUCCUAAGGGCACUUACCUGGCCACUUUCCAUCAGCGAGGCAUUGCUCUCUGGGGGGGAGAGAAAUUCAAACAAAUCCAGAGAUUCAGCCACCAAGGGGUUCAGCUCAUUGACUUCUCACCUUGUGAAAGAUACCUGGUGACAUUCAGCCCCCUGAUGGGCACUCAGGAUGACCCUCAGGCCAUCAUCAUUUGGGACAUCUUGACCGGGCAGAAGAAGAGGGGUUUUCACUGCGAGAGCUCAGCCCAUUGGCCUAUCUUUAAGUGGAGCCAUGAUGGUAAAUUUUUUGCCAGAAUGACCCUCGACACUCUUAGCAUCUAUGAAACUCCCUCUAUGGGCCUUUUGGACAAGAAAAGCUUGAAGAUCUCUGGCAUAAAGGACUUCUCUUGGUCUCCUGGUGGUAACAUCAUAGCUUUUUGGGUGCCUGAGGACAAAGAUAUCCCGGCCAGGGUGACCCUGAUGCAGCUCCCUACUAGACAAGAAAUCAGGGUUAGGAAUUUGUUCAAUGUCGUGGACUGCAAGCUACAUUGGCAGAAAAAUGGAGAUUACUUGUGUGUUAAAGUGGAUAGGACUCCCAAGGGAACCCAGGGCGUUGUUACAAAUUUUGAAAUUUUCCGAAUGAGGGAAAAACAGGUACCAGUCGACGUGGUGGAAAUGAAAGAAACCAUCAUAGCCUUCGCCUGGGAGCCGAACGGGAGUAAGUUUGCCGUGUUGCAUGGGGAGGCUCCUCGGAUAUCCGUUUCCUUCUACCACGUGAAGAACAACGGGAAGAUUGAGCUUAUCAAAAUGUUUGAUAAGCAGCAGGCAAAUACCAUCUUCUGGAGCCCCCAGGGACAGUUUGUCGUGUUGGCUGGCCUAAGGAGUAUGAAUGGUGCCUUGGCUUUUGUUGACACCUCGGACUGUACAGUCAUGAACAUUGCAGAGCACUACAUGGCCUCUGACGUGGAGUGGGACCCUACUGGACGCUACGUUGUCACCUCUGUGUCCUGGUGGAGCCAUAAGGUGGACAACGCUUACUGGCUGUGGACUUUCCAAGGACGCCUCCUGCAGAAGAACAACAAGGACCGCUUUUGCCAGCUCCUGUGGAGACCUCGGCCCCCCACGCUCCUGAGCCAGGAUCAGAUAAAGCAAAUUAAAAAGGAUCUGAAGAAAUACUCCAAGAUCUUUGAACAGAAGGAUCGUCUGAGCCAAUCCAAAGCCUCAAAGGAACUGGUGGAGAGGAGACGCACCAUGAUGGAAGAUUUCCGAAAAUACCGGAAAAUGGCCCAGGAGCUCUACAUGGAGCAGAAGAGUGAACGUCUGGAAUUGCGAGGAGGCGUGGACACCGACGAGCUGGACAGCAACGUGGAGGACUGGGAAGAGGAGACCAUCGAGUUCUUCGUCACUGAGGAGAUCAUCCCCCUGGGAAAUCAGGAGUGACCUAAGCACAGGGAGACGAGAGCCUUCAGAAGCCAGUCCGGCAAGGCUGGGCACUCACACUUCUCAGUAAGCGCUCGAGGAGGACCCAGAGCCAUCGUGCCCAGGGCGGCCAGCGGUGUCCCCACGUCUUGUGCUGGAACCAGGUUGUCCUGCGAGAAGCCUGCACAAUGCCUGAAUUCUCACCUGUGCUUUUUCUUGCUCUAGACUGUGCUCCCGGACUCCCCCAUCUUCCACACAUUACUGUGCCUUUAACCCCUGGUCUCCACCGCAGGGGAGGAUGGAAGGCACUACUUUAAAUUUUUUCUUGUUUGGGGUUUUUAAAAUCACGCCACCAGUGUUUGUUACUCACACUCUCGUGCACUGCCACAGUGGCCCCUCGGCCUCCUGAAGUGCACAGCCGAGCCGUCUCCCCUCAAGGACUUGUCUGUCCCGUGUGCGUGGGCCAGUGUGGCUGUGUCCAGGACGCAACAGGGAGGCAGCACUCCACAGUGUCCUGGUGCCAUUCAGGUUGUGCCAGGUUCUCUCAACGGGCUGAGUGUGGAAAUAAAAGCAAACCUGUAUGAAAACACUGUCUUUCUCCUCUCUUUAAACGUAGAUAGCGGCCUUGAAUCUGGUGCCUGUAGUCCCUGCCCUGACCAUGGCGGCCCUCAGGGCUCAGCACACCCGCCUGCUGCUUGCCCACGAGGCUGACCUGGUAAGGAGGGAGGCCUCCAGCCUUGCGUAAGGUCAUGCAUUUUCAGCUGAGCACAGUCCCAUCAGUGCAAAAAAAAAAUACUCUGUUUUUGUUUUCCAUGCUCUUUUCACCUGGUGAGAAAAAUCCCUCUAGACUUUUUCUUGGAGUCCUACACGUUUAAAGUCUAUGAGAAUUGUCACUUUAGCCACUGUCACGUGGUCCUCUGAAUAUUUAACUUUAUUCUGAAAAGAGGGUUGAACGAGUCAAUGUAACCUGAACCUCUGCUUCCCAUUGGUGCCUCAUGAAGUUUCUGCUGCUCCACUUCUGUCUCCGGGAGCCUGACUCUUCGUCUGGGAAGCAGCAGAGCAUAGGACGGGCACACCACAUUUACCAGCCAGGGCUCGCAUGAGCCUGAAGUGUUGUGGGAUUGGAGGGGCCUGGCAGUCCCUGCCCCAUAGGGCUGUGCUGGAGGAGCAGGCAGGCGGUCUGCUGUGGCCUGGGCCCGGCCAUGAGGCACACUUGGCACUCCAGCCCCUGUUCAGUCAUUGCUGUCCUGAUGCCCCAUUGGUGUGUGGGGUCCACUGUGUGUGUGUGUGUGUGUGUGCUCAUGUCCUUUAAACCUCAUCGUGCCAAGACCUAGGUUUUACAUUUGAUGGUAAGAGGAGGGUACAGGCUUUGGUCAUUCUCACACAUUUUUAACAGAGUUUUCAAAAAAUUUACUUUUGAUUGUUUUAAACUUGCUAGUUGUAAUUGUUUUACAUAAUUUGUUAAUAAAAGGAUUUCUGAAA